GCCAGCAGCCAUAUCACCCCGCGACUCACAACUGGCAACCUGCUGAAGCUAUGCAGGUGUGAGCCUGGUCAGUACCUGGAUGGGAGACCUCCUGGGAAAAACUAAGGUGCUGCUGGAA
rnacentral:rRNA from 1 species